UACGGAGGGUGCAAGCGUUAAUCGGAAUUACUGGGCGUAAAGCGUGCGCAGGCGGUUCGCUGUGUCCGAUGUGAAAGCCCCGGGCUUAACCUGGGAAUGGCAUUGGAAACUGGCGGGCUUGAGUGUGGCAGAGGGGGGUGGAAUUCCGCGUGUAGCAGUGAAAUGCGUAGAGAUGCGGAGGAACACCGAUGGCGAAGGCAGCCCCCUGGGCUAACACUGACGCUCAGGCACGAAAGCGUGGGGAGCAAACAGG
rnacentral:rRNA from 1 species